GAGGGUGUAGCUCAGUGGUAGAGUGAGUGCUUAGCAUGCAUGAGGUCCUGGAUUCAAUCCCCAGUAUCUCCA
rnacentral:tRNA from 1 species